CCAAGGAGUCUAACAUGUGCGCGAGUCACUCAGUCUUGAAUAGGCUCGAGGGGCGAAAUGAAAGUAAUGCCCUUGUGGCAAAGAUACGAUCCUGGUGUUUACUACUUGCCUUGUGCGAGUGUCCCGGGCGCAGUAUCGGCCCACCCAUUUCUCAUUGUAGAUUUGGUGGAGUCUGAGCGUAUAUGUUGGUACCCGAAAGAUGGUGAACUAUACUUGAGCAGGAUGAAGCCAGAGGAAACUCUGGUGGAAGUCUGUAGCGGUUCUGACGUGCAAAUCGAUCGUCAGACUUGAGUAUAGGGGCGAAAGACUAAUCGAACCAUC
rnacentral:rRNA from 1 species